AACAUUCAUUGCUGUCGGUGGGUUUGAAUGUCAACCAACUCACUGGUCAAUGAAUGCAAA
rnacentral:pre_miRNA from 1 species